AAGCUAGUGAGAUGGUAUUUACAUCAAAUGAAAUAGUAUAGACUAGAUUUUCAGGCAAUUUUGGCCCACUGUUUAAUGUAAAUAAAGUUUUAUUGGAACACAACUGUGCUUAUUAGUUUAUAUAUUCUAGAUGGCUUCAAGGACUUGAACUGGAGUUUGAAAAGUAAGGCCAAGAGGAAGUACAAUUUAAGGAGAAACCCUCAGCUUUCUGCAAGUGCCUACAUCUGCCAACUUUGCACAUAUGUAACUGGAGAGUGUCUCUACACCUGCUACCCAGCUCUCACCUUGUUGUUCUUGGAGGGAGAAGAAGAGGGAUUUCAAGCUGUUCAAGGGAUUCUAUUAAACCUCUGAGAGCCGAAGAUGUCAAAUUUCUCUCAUGAAUAAUGGUGAAGAAGAAAUCAAGGUGGAAAUCAUGCAUUAAUUCACUGCAUCCUCUCCACUCCACAGAAAGCUUUACAAGUUCUAAUAUUGAAGUGCCUUUCUGCUAUGCUCCAUUCUUCUUCCAAAAAGAACAAGAACAUUCUCCAAAAAAAUCCCUUCUAAAACUUCUAAAAUCCUCUCUCAACCCAUUUUCAUCACAGUGGAAGUGAUUUGAGUAUCAUAAAACAAGUUCCACAAAAUUAUAAUGAAACACCUCGGCUCUUCUUGGUAGGUGAUAUCUGUUAAAUGUCAGUUCUGCGAAUAAACUUUCCCAUUUAUAACUCAGCAGCACACACAAAUACAAAUAAUCAGGCACAUAAAUUUGGAAUUUUUGUGCAUUGGAGACUUACUUGAUAUGUUAAUGAAAUUAAAACGUGAUGACAAACACAAAGUCAGUACUGAAGAUAUUCAUACGAUUUUAACAACUUAACAACUUGAUAUCACCCAAUUUUUCCGAGAUCUUUACCAGCCCUGCCAGUCAAAAUUUCAUCCUGUCCAGAAAGACCAAACUUUUAGCCACUGUUGCUCUCUUGUUUUAUGAUGUCUUCACAUCUUAGGAUGAUUUCUUCUGCAGGUUGAUUUCUUCUAUAGCAAUAAGCACAAUCAUGAUCGUGACAUCAUUUCAUUAUAAGAUCUCUGUGGCAUGAAGUUCUAUUGGCCACUCUGCAACCAUGGUCUGAAACUUUUUAAUUACAUACAAUCUCAUGUAUGAAUAUUUUUAUAGAUAAUCCCAAUACGGAUUGACUCUUAAGUAGAAGUAAGAAAUAGGAUUGAAGGCAGUCUUUGAGUCCUAGUAACAGUGAGGUAGAACUGAAACAACAUAUGGAGAUUAGAGUUUAGGUAAAAUAGC
rnacentral:lncRNA from 1 species